rnacentral:rRNA from 1 species
UACGAAGGUCCCAAGCGUUAUCCGGAUUUAUUGGGUUUAAAGGGUGCGUAGGCGGGUUAUUAAGUCAGUGGUGAAAGCCUUCAGCUUAACUGAAGAAUUGCCAUUGAUACUGAUGAUCUUGAGUAUGAUUGAGGUGGGCGGAAUGUGUCAUGUAGCGGUGAAAUGCUUAGAUAUGACAUAGAACACCAAUUGCGAAGGCAGCUCACUACCCGAAUAUUGACUCUGAGGCACGAAAGCGUGGGGAUCAAACAGG